rnacentral:lncRNA from 1 species
CAUCAAGACGUUAGAACAGUUGUCAAGGAUGCAUGCCAGUUAUGGAUAUUACGAAUACAAAAACUUCAGCUUUAGAGCUUAAGUUUCCAGUUACAACACAAAAACUUCAGCUCUAGAGUUGAACUUCAGGCCCGGCUACUAGUCCAACCCAUUAAAACUUGGGCGAGUCAAAUGAGUUUGGGUUAGUUUUCCUAAUUUAUCGUAAAAACAGCACGGUCUAACCAGUUUUCGUACUGGUCAUUCAAAAAUAGUCAGCAUUUGCAAAGUCAUUGAAAAAUAGCUACUAUAUUGUUGCAACACGAAGAGUUCCAGCAUAAUAUACUAUAGAUCGGUGCAUCUGUUUAUGAACUUCUAGCAUAUUAUGCUGGAACACCAACACGCGGGAAGUUCCAGUAUAAUAUACUGGAGCCAAUCUCAAGUAUAUUAUGCUGGACCGAUAUAUUAUAGUGAAGUUCCAAUAUAAUAUACUGAAGUAUUUUUUCUGAUUUUUGAAUGACCACUUGUAAAUCUGGCUAUUUUGAAUUUCUCCCUAAUUUAUCCCUAUCUUGUAAGCAACAACAACAACAACAACUACCCAGUAUACUCCCACCAGGUGGGGUCUAGGGAAGGUAAUAUGUAGACAGCCUUACCCCUACCCAAAAGGGCAGAGAGGCUGCUUCCAAGCGACCCUCGGCGCAUAGGACAGAAUGAA